CNUUNUNNAGAUAGCCANCANGUCUAGUUACAGGCUUUAACAAAGUGAAACCGCGAAUGGCUCAUUAAAUCAGUUAUGGUUCCUUAGAUCGUACCACGUUACUUGGAUAACUGUGGUAAUUCUAGAGCUAAUACAUGCAGCAGAGCUCCGACCCCGCGAGGGGGACGAGCGCUUUUAUUAGACCAAGACCAAUCCGUCUUCCUCCGGGAGGACGGCAUUCGGUGACGACUCUGGAUAACUUUGGGCCGAUCGCACGGGCACGUCCCGGCGACGAAUCUUUCAAGUGUCUGCCUUAUCAACUGUCGAUGGUAGGUCACGCGCCUACCAUGGUCGUAACGGGUGACGGGGAAUCAGGGUUCGAUUCCGGAGAGGGAGCCUGAGAAACGGCUACCACAUCCAAGGAAGGCAGCAGGCGCGCAAAUUACCCACUCCCGGCACGGGGAGGUAGUGACGAAAAAUAACGAUACGGGACUCUCUCGAGACCCCGUAAUCGGAAUGAGAGGCUCUUAAAUCCUCCGGCGAGGAUCUAUUGGAGGGCAAGUCUGGUGCCAGCAGCCGCGGCAAUUCCAGCUCCAAUAGCGUAUAUUAAAGUUGUUGCGGUUAAAAAGCUCGUAGUUGGAUCUCGGUCCCGGGGGUAGCGGUCCGCCAGACGGCGGUCCACCGCUACCGACCGGACGUCAGCGGCCGGGUCCCCGCGAUGGCCUUCGCCGGCUGUCGCGGGGGGCCGGCGAGUUUACUUUGAAAAAAUUAGAGUGCUCAGGGCAGGCGAAGAAUUGCCCGGAUAAUGGUGCAUGGAAUAAUGGAACAGGACCUCGGUUCUAUUCUGUUGGUCUCCGGAACUGACGGUAAUGAUUAAAAGGGACGGACGGGGGCAUUCGUAUCGCGGCGCUAGAGGUGAAAUUCUUGGACCGCCGCGAGACGAACUACUGCGAGNNUUUUUU
rnacentral:rRNA from 1 species